UACGUAGGGGGCAAGCGUUGUCCGGAAUUAUUGGGCGUAAAGAGCGUGUAGGCGGUCCGGUAAGUCAGCUGUGAAAGUCAAGGGCUCAACCCUUGAAAGCCGGUUGAUACUGUCGGGCUAGAGUCCGGAAGAGGCGAGUGGAAUUCCGAGUGUAGAGGUGAAAUUCGUAGAUAUUCGGAGGAACACCAGUGGCGAAGGCGGCUCACUGGUCCGGUACUGACGCUGAGGUGCGAAAGCGUGGGGAGCAAACAGG
rnacentral:rRNA from 1 species